UCAACAAAAUCACUGAUGCUGGAGUCACCUGAGUCAUCACUCAGCACCAGGAUAUUGUUGGAG
rnacentral:pre_miRNA from 1 species